rnacentral:rRNA from 1 species
AGUGAACGCUGGCGGUAGGCCUAACACAUGCAAGUCGAACGGCAGCACAGAGGAGCUUGCUCCUUGGGUGGCGAGGGGCGGACGGGUGAGGAAUACAUCGGAAUCUACUCUGUCGUGGGGGAUAACGUAGGGAAACUUACGCUAAUACCGCAUACGAACUACGGGUGAAAGCAGGGGACCUUCGGGACUUGGGCGAUUGAAUGAGCCGGUGUCGGAUUAGCUAGUUGGCGGGGGAAAGGCCCACCAAGGCGACGAUCCGUAGCUGGUCUGAGAGGAUGAUCAGCCACACUGGAACUGAGACACGGUCCAGACUCCUACGGGAGGCAGCAGUGGGGAAUAUAGGACAAUGGGCGCAAGCCUGAUCCAGCCAUACCGCGUGGGUGAAGAAGGCCUUCGGGUUGUAAAGCCCUUUUGCUGGGAAAGAAAUCCAGCUGGCUAAUACCCGGUUGGGAUGACGGUACCCAAAGAAUAAGCACCGGCUAACUUCGUGCCAGCCGCCGCGGUAA